rnacentral:rRNA from 1 species
AUACGUAGGUGACAAGCGUUAUCCGGAUUUACUGGGCGUAAAGGGCGUGUAGGCGGUCUUGCAAGUCAGAAGUGAAAUUCCUGAGCUCAACUCGGGCGCUGCUUCUGAAACUGCAGGACUUGAGUGCUGGAGGGGAUAGCGGAAUUCCUAGUGGAGCGGUAAAAUGCGCAGAUAUUAUGAAGAACACCGGUGGCGAAGGCGGCUAUCUGGACAGUAUCAGGCGCUGAGGCGCGAACGCGUGGGGAGCAAACAGGAUUAGAUGCCCGGGUAGUCCACGCCGUAAACGAUGAAUUCUAGGUGUAGGGGGUAUCGACUCCCUCUGUGCCGAAGUUAACACAAUAAGUAUUCCGCCUGGGGAGUACGGCCGCAAGGUUGAAACUUAAAGGAAUUGACGGG